AGUGAACGCUGGCGGUAGGCCUAACACAUGCAAGUCGAACGGCAGCACAGUAAGAGCUUGCUCUUACGGGUGGCGAGUGGCGGACGGGUGAGGAAUACAUCGGAAUCUACUUUUUCGUGGGGGAUAACGUAGGGAAACUUACGCUAAUACCGCAUACGACCUACGGGUGAAAGCAGGGGAUCUUCGGACCUUGCGCGAUUGAAUGAGCCGAUGUCGGAUUAGCUAGUUGGCGGGGUAAAGGCCCACCAAGGCGACGAUCCGUAGCUGGUCUGAGAGGAUGGUCAGCCGCACUGGAACGUGAACGCGGUCCAGGCUCCUAAGGGAGGGAGCAGUGGGGAAUAUUGGACAAUGGGGGGAAACCUUGUCCAACCAUACCGAGUUGGUUGAGGAAGCCCUCCGGUUGUAAAGCCCUUUUUUUGGGAAAGAAAAGCCGCCGGUUAAUACCCCGCUGUUCUGACGGUACCCAAAGAAUAAGCACCGGCUAACUUCGUG
rnacentral:rRNA from 1 species